UUAGUUGAGGGUGCUUCUUCUUCUUCGGAGGAAGAGGUAACCCGGCGGACGGCUCAGUAACACGUGGACAACUUACCCUUGGGACGGGGAUAACCCCUGGGAAACUGGGGCUAAUACCGGAUAGAGCAUCGGUUGCUGGAAUGCACGAUGUUCGAAAGCUGAGGCGCCCAAGGAUAGGUCUGCGGCCGAUUAGGUUGUUGUUGAUGUAACGGAUCAACAAGCCUACGAUCGGUACGGGUUGUGAGAGCAAUAGCCCGGAGAUGGGUUCUGAGAGAAGAACCCAGGUCCUACGGGACGCAUCAGGCGCGAAAACUUUACAAUGUGCGAAAGCACGAUAAGGGAACUCUGAGUGCCUCCUAAGGAGGCUGUUCAAGUGUCUAAAAAGCACCUGAAGGAAGGGCUGGGUAAGACCGGUGCCAGCCGCCGCGGUAACACCGGCAGCCCAAGUGGUAGCCACGCUUAUUGGGUCUAAAGCGUCCGUAGCCGGCCGGGUAAGUUCCUUGGGAAAUUUGACCGCUUAACGGUCAAGCUUUCAGGGAAUACUGCUUGGCUUGGGACCGGGAGAGGUCAGAGGUACUCCAAGGGUAGGGGUGAAAUCCAUUAAUCCUUGGGGGACCACCGGUAGCGAAGGCGUCUGACCAGACCGGGUCCGACGGUGAGGGACGAAGGCUAGGGUCGCGAACCGGAUUAGAUACCCGGGUAGUCCUAGCUGUAAACGAUGCGGGCCAGGUGUUGGCAUUACUGCGAGUGAUGCCAGUGCCGAAGGGAAGCCGUUAAGCCCGCCAUCUGGGGAGUACGGUCGCAAGGCUGAAACUUAAAGGAAUUGGCGGGGGAGCACCACAACGGGUGGAGCUGCGGUUC
rnacentral:rRNA from 1 species